GUGCUCGCUUCGGCAGCUCAGAUACUAAAAUUGGAACGAUACAGAGAUUAGCACGGCCCUGUGCAAGGCUGACAUGCAAAUUCAUGAAGCGUUCCAUAUUUUU